rnacentral:rRNA from 1 species
UGGGGAAUUGUUCGCAAUGGGCGCAAGCCUGACGACGCAACGCCGCGUGGAGGAUGAAGACCUUCGGGUCGUAAACUCCUUUCGACCGAGAUGAAGACCCAUUGGCCUAAUACGCCGAUGGAUUGACAGUAUCGAGGGAAGCAGCCCCGGCUAACUCCGUGCCAGCAGCCGCGGUAAUACGGGGGGGGCAAGCGUUGUUCGGAAUUACUGGGCGUAAAGGGUCUGUAGGUGGCUUGCUAAGUCAGACGUGAAAUCCCUCAGCUUAACUGGGGAACUGCGUCUGAUACUGGCGAGCUUGAGUGCAGGAGAGGAACGCGGAAUUCCAGGUGUAGCGGUGAAAUGCGUAGAUAUCUGGAGGAACACCGGUGGCGAAGGCGGCGUUCUGGACUGCAACUGACACUGAGAGACGAAAGCCAGGGGAGCAAACGGGAUUAGAUACCCCCGUAGUCC